rnacentral:tRNA from 1 species
AGCCCCGUAGUGUAGCGGUCCAUCAUGCGAGGCUCUGGACCUUGCGACCUCGGUUCGAAAAAUGUCAGUGAAAAGAACAGUCACAUUAGAAAACAAUCACGCUGGCACAGCGAAAAUCCGAGCGGGGCUA